ACAGCACACUCACUUUGCACAAAUGUGGCUGCACAAAGAAGACAGCAGUGGAAAAUCAGGGACAGAGUCCCUGUUCUAAAGCUCUUGCUUUCUGCUCUUUUAAUUACAAACAGUAUCCUUUUGAACAAUAGCCACUCCCCAAAGCCUUUGGCUCUGUGUGUGCAUUAAUCCUCAGCUGGACUCUCUUGUGGAGAUUAUGAAAAUGCAAUCCAGGAAAGGAGACAGUCCUAGUGAGAUUAUCAACGGGUGCCAUAGGAAUGGGUGUGUGUUGAAGAGCGAGAACAGGGUGCUUGGCAGCCCACGCUGAAUGAGCUGGUGGUCUCAGUCCGGUGGACGACUGUCCAUUCUAUUAAAAAAAACCCUCACCACAAUUAGCAGUGAGAGAGGCCAAGGACUGAACGGAUAUUUCAAUUCCUCCCUCAAUCUGAAGGAUGGUCUCUCAGGCCUAAGGUCAACACUUCUGUGAGGUGAUGGAAGGCAGCUUGAAUACCUGCACCUGCUCUGAGGGUCCGACAUCUUUCAUCUCCACGCUGUCAAUGGCUCACUAAAGUCAUGGAGGGACAAAUCCCACUUGAGUCAACAGCAAAACUCUGAAACGAUGUCAAAGGCAACAGGAACUAACCGAAGGUGGUAGGAACGAAAAAAGAAUAAGGAGAUGGAGCCAAUCCUCCUGAACUGAGAGCUUGGAUGGGGAGAACAAACCAAUUAGCCAUCUCCAUAUUGUGCAGUUACUGGUUUUGCAGGGAAAGGCAAGGGAGAUUCCAAGAGCUACUUGGAAUCCAAGGGCUGCUUUACAUACACUUGGAAAGAGGCAUGCAGCUCCUAAUGUCUGUUCCUCUAAAUAAAUCAGUGCAGGUUUGUCUUAAAAAAA